GCUUCUAAAUACUAAGGAAAUUGAAAAAGAGCCCUGAAAUAUUAAUGGAAAUCAUGGAAGAACUUUGAGACUGAAAAGAGAGGAGAAGAGUCUCCUAAAACUGGGGAAAAGAAAACCCUCUCAAUAUUAUGAAACUUGGGGAACAGCAUCACAAAGAUGAGUUGAGACGUGUCUUUCAUCAAGUCUGGUGAAAUUGAGAAAGAUCCAAAUUGAGAACGAGGAAUUCAAAGAAGCGCAUCAUGAUUAAGAAUGUGCCUUUCAAGAGGAACAUGAGGAAGAGCUGAUCUAGCCUGGCAACGCUGAGAAAGAGUCUUUUAAGACCAAGGAUGUUGAGGAGCCUCUCAAGCCUGAGGAAGGUACGGAAGAAGUUCUCAAAAAUAAGGAAGUUGAGGGAGAGUUUCUCCAAAAUAAAGAAGUUGAGGAAGAUUUUCUCAAAACUUAGGAAGUUUAGGAAGAGCCUUUCAAGCCUGAAGAAGUUUAGGAAGAGUCUCUCAAGACCAAAGUGUCAUGAUUCCCCCUUGAAGCAGCGUGCUCUAAGCGCGAAUGCGUGAGCACCUGCUUUUCCGUUGUUGACCGUAGUGACAUCUGGACACGUGUGUUUUGUUUAUGUUUCUGUCAUGUCUCCUCCCUGUUCUGUCAUUGGCUGGGAUUUCACGUGGGUCUGUAUUGCUCUCAGCUGCUAGCGGUUUAGACGCUGAUCAUGUCCACAUAUAUACCGCGCGCCUCCCAGCACACAACGUGGAACAUUAUCGUAGAGUUAGUUUAGUUCGUAUCGUAUCGUAUCGUAUCGUAUCGUAUCGUAUCGUAUCGUAGUCGUAGUCAUAGUCACGGUCCAUGUUUAGAGUUAGUUCGCGCUGGAUUAUCCGCUCCCAGUUCCUCGUCAUAGUUCGUUUCUCGUUUUGUUUAUCGACCCUGUUUUCCGUGACCAUGACCUAGAUUCCAGCCUUGCCCCGUGUAUGCCUGUUUUCCAAUCGCCUGACCUCUUGCAUGUUUGCGGAUUACGUUUUGGAUCACGUUUUGGAUUUGUCUGCCUGUCUCUCUUUCAAAUAAACAACUGUUCAUCCUGCACUUGCAUCCGUCCUAUCUCCGCUCCGUCACGAUACGUGACACAAAGAAGGUGAGGAAGAGUUUCUCAAGACUUAAGAAGUUGAACUGAAAGGAAGUGUCUCAGGUCUGAAGAAGUUGAAGGAGAGGUUUAAAAAAUAAGGAACUGGAUGAAGUGGUUCUCAAAACUGAGGAAGUUCAAGAAGAACCUUUCAAGCCUGGGGAAGAAAAGGAAGAGUCUCUCAAGACCAAGGAAGGUGAGGAAGAUUGCUACAAAGCUGAAGAAGAGUCUCUCAAGUCUGAAGAAGUUGAGGAAGAGCGUCUUCUCUUCUCUCCACUUGGGCAGGAAAACCAUCCAUGAGCUGCAGUAAAAUGUAGCCUUAGUGUUUGUUGAUACAGUGGGGGUCAUGAUGUCUGAGUCCAGCAGCAAGAAUUGACCAUUUUACUCAACUGGCCAGAUGUGUCGUUAUCUGUAGCAUCCCUGCUGGUGCCUCUACAAAUUACACCUGCAACAUGAGGGGUCGUCAUGUGAACAUCAUUCCCAAUGUUAUCCAGGCUCUCACGCUCUGUGAAGUGGAAGUCUAUGGGGUUCCAGUGCCUGUUACUAAGAGGGCAUUUCUGAGAUUGAAGUUUAACAGCAGUGAGGAUCUUAUGAACCCUACUGUGAGGGACAAAAUUCUUCAAAAGAUGAUAUCUGCCAAUGUCCAGCCUUCAGUGCGUCAGAUCCGUUGGACUAAGGAACCAGAGGUGGAAAAAGAAACUUAAAAAACGGUGGCAGAAAUAUAUCUGAAACAACAAGAAAAAGAUGAAGUGGAAGAAGAACUGUUCAAAGAACAAAAAGAAAAAAAAUCAAAUGUGUGAGGUUUGGGUGUAGCACUUGAAAAUACUAGCUAACUGAUGUUAUAGG